rnacentral:lncRNA from 1 species
UUUUUUUUUUUUUUUUUUUUUUGAGAUGGAGUCUCACUGUGUCACUCAGGCUGACGUACAGUGCUGUGAUCUUGGCUCACUGCAAUCUCUGCCUCCAGGGUCCAAGCAAUUCUCCUGCCUCAACCUCCCGAGUGGCUGGGAUUACAGGCUCCAGCCACCACACCCAGCUAAUUUUUAGUAGAGACAAGGUUUCACCAUGUUGGCCAGGCUGGUCUCGAACUUCUGGCCUCAAGUGAUCCACUCGCCUUGGCCUCCCAAAAUGCUGGGAUUACAGGAGUGAGCCACCAUGUCCACCCAAGUCUACUUUUAAUAGUAUAGAUACUAAUGGCUUCUUAAAAAGAAGUUGGUAUUUGGACUAUGACCUGAAAAACAUGGAGGAUCUAGUCAUGCUGAAGGAAUAAAGAGACUCUGUCUUCCUAGAAGGUAUGAAAUUGUGUUCUGAGGAUCUUCUGACUUUCUUUGUGCCCAAUACAGGACACUAUACUCAAAUAGCACUUAAUUUCCAUUGUUUGAUUGCUUAUUAAUAAGCUUAAAUGUUAACAUAAAAGGAUAAUCCAAAACAGUGAAUACAUAGGAAAGCCUUCUGAGGAACUGUGAGGAUGUGGAAGGUAACUGGAUGGUGGUGAUCUGUAUCUCAAGGGACUUCACAGAUGUAGAAUUUUACCAUGUGGUGUUCAUAUCAAUGUACUAAAAUGGGAAUUAAUAUUCUAAAUACUUCCAGAAAUAUAUAAACAGGUUUGAUAGCAGAAUGUAAGUUGCUUUGUUUUCUCUAGUAAAAUUUUUUGCCUUUGCUUUCUCAGCUUAUAUUGGCAAAGUUAUUAGGACCUCAGGACAGUGUUGCUUUACUGUGUAUUUCAUCUAUUACUUGCUAAAAGGAGAAGUGGGGAACUCAGGAGGGUGUCAAUCACUGAGGCAAACAAGGAGAGCAGGGGUGCAAGCUGAGACCAGACUCACAGACAGUCUCACAGAUCUCAGGAAGGUCUACAGCAUCUUUUGGAUGAAUACAUGUAGAUCCUUGUAGAACCAGCUUUUAUGUGGUGAGUUCUAACAUUUUGUUAAAAUCAAGGGGGCUGAACAGGAAUGCCUAGAGUUCUAUGGAAAUAACAGAUUCCUGACUUGAAUCGCUGGGCUUUUCCCACUUGGCACUGGUUAUGCUCUUCUUCUCUGACUGCAAUGUCAUGGAAUUUCACGAGGUCAUGUAGCACAUUAUUCAGAACUGUAUCGCCUACACAUAAGACAGUAGGUUAAAAAUUUAGGAUAGAAAUAAGUAUAUGAUGUAGGCCUGGCUUUCAGUGACACUAAAUCAUUUCAUAACAUACUGCUUCAAAGCAAAAAGCAUUUAAUGAUACUUAAUAAGACCAGUUCUAUUUUGGGUGUGAACCAAAUGAAAAUAAGACAUGGUCAUAGUCUUUGGAAUUCCAGGUUAGUAUGAGAUAUGGCUUGGCUGUGUCUCUACCCAAAUCUCAUCUUGAAUUUUAGCUCCCAUAAUUCCCACAUAUCAAGGGAAGGACUUGGUGGGAGGUAACUGAGUCAUGGGGGCGGGUCUUCCUCUAUACUGUUUUCGUGUUAGUGUGCAAGUCUCACGAGAUCUGAUGGUUUUGUAAAUGGGAGUUCCCCUGCACAAACUCUCUUGCCUGUUGCCAUAUAAAACAUGGCUUUGCUCUUCCAUCAUUUUACACUAUGACUGUGGGGCCUCCCCAGCACUGUGGAACUGUGAGUCAAUUAAACCUCUUUCCUUUAUAAAUUACCCAGUAUCGGGUAUGUCUUUAUUAGCAGCAUGGGAACAGACUAACACAGUAUGGAAACAGACAAACAUCACAAUAACUUAUGCAUACAUUUUACCCUGCAUUUAGCACACUUCUGUAACUAUGCACUGAAAGUCUGCUCUUCACUAGAUUUGGGGUUUCUGUAGCACAGGAACAAUUAUUUAUUUAUAUGCUUAUUCCCACUGACUACCUGGUACAUUGCUUGGCAUGGCAUACAGGUGGGUCUAAGAGAUGUUUGUUGAACAAAAUAAAUAUACAUCUGAUAACCAUUGUAAAUCAAAGAUACAUAAUUCACUACAAGAUUAAUGAGGAAGAAGCAAUUAUUUUUGCCGGAGGAGUGAGGGAAAAAGAGAGGUCCACAGUGCCACAGACCAAUACACAUAUGAAAAGAUGCUCAC